rnacentral:rRNA from 1 species
CUGGCGGCAGGCCUAACACAUGCAAGUCGAGCGGCAGCGGGUCCUUCGGGAUGCCGGCGAGCGGCGGACGGGUGAGUAAUGCCUAGGAAUCUGCCUGGUAGUGGGGGAUAACGUUCGGAAACGGACGCUAAUACCGCAUACGUCCUACGGGAGAAAGUGGGGGAUCUUCGGACCUCACGCUAUCAGAUGAGCCUAGGUCGGAUUAGCUAGUUGGUGGGGUAAUGGCUCACCAAGGCGACGAUCCGUAACUGGUCUGAGAGGAUGAUCAGUCACACUGGAACUGAGACACGGUCCAGACUCCUACGGGAGGCAGCAGUGGGGAAUAUUGGACAAUGGGCGAAAGCCUGAUCCAGCCAUGCCGCGUGUGUGAAGAAGGUCUUCGGAUUGUAAAGCACUUUAAGUUGGGAGGAAGGGCAGCUAGUUAAUACCUGGUUGUUUUGACGUUACCAACAGAAUAAGCACCGGCUAACUUCGUGCCAGCAGCCGCGGUAAUACGAAGGGUGCAAGCGUUAAUCGGAAUUACUGGGCGUAAAGCGCGCGUAGGUGGUUCAGCAAGUUGGAGGUGAAAUCCCCGGGCUCAACCUGGGAACUGCCUCCAAAACUACUGAGCUAGAGUACGGUAGAGGGUAGUGGAAUUUCCUGUGUAGCGGUGAAAUGCGUAGAUAUAGGAAGGAACACCAGUGGCGAAGGCGACUACCUGGACUGAUACUGACACUGAGGUGCGAAAGCGUGGGGAGCAAACAGGAUUAGAUACCCUGGUAGUCCACGCCGUAAACGAUGUCGACUAGCCGUUGGGAUCCUUGAGAACUUAGUGGCGAAGCUAACGCGAUAAGUCGACCGCCUGGGGAGUACGGCCGCAAGGUUAAAACUCAAAUGAAUUGACGGGGGCCCGCACAAGCGGUGGAGCAUGU